GACGAACGCUGGCGGCGUGCUUAACACAUGCAAGUCGAACGGAAAGGCCCUGCUUUUGUGGGGUGCUCGAGUGGCGAACGGGUGAGUAACACGUGAGUAACCUGCCCUUGACUUUGGGAUAACUUCAGGAAACUGGGGCUAAUACCGGAUAGGAGCUCCUGCUGCAUGGUGGGGGUUGGAAAGUUUCGGCGGUUGGGGAUGGACUCGCGGCUUAUCAGCUUGUUGGUGGGGUAGGGGCUUACCAAGGCUUUGACGGGUAGCCGGCCUGAGAGGGUGACCGGCGACAAUGGGACUGAGAUACGGACCAGACGCCUACGGGAGGCAGCAGGGGGGAAUAUUGCACAAUGGGCGGAAGCCUGAUGCAGCAACGCCGGGUGCGGGAUGACGGCCUUCGGGUUGUAAACCGCUUUCGCCUGUGACGAAGCGUGAGUGACGGUAAUGGGUAAAGAAGCACCGGCUAACUACGUG
rnacentral:rRNA from 1 species